rnacentral:rRNA from 1 species
ACUAUGUAUGGUCGUUAACAUCGAUGAUUCGAUACCCAAAUCAUCCGCCCGGGUAAUACGAGCAUUAGCUUAAAACCCAAAGGACUUGGCGGUGCUUUAGACCCC